GAUGAACGCUGGCGGCGUGCUUAACACAUGCAAGUCGAACGAAGCACUUUUUUUGAUUUCCUUCGGGACUGAUUAUUUUGUGACUGAGUGGCGGACGGGUGAGUAACGCGUGGGUAACCUGCCUUGUACAGGGGGAUAACAGUUGGAAACGGCUGCUAAUACCGCAUAAGCGCACAGCAUCGCAUGAUGCAGUGUGAAAAACUCCGGUGGUAUAAGAUGGACCCGCGUUGGAUUAGCUAGUUGGUGAGGUAACGGCCCACCAAGGCGACGAUCCAUAGCCGACCUGAGAGGGUGACCGGCCACAUUGGGACUGAGACACGGCCCAAACUCCUACGGGAAGCAGCAGUGGGGAAUAUUGCACAAUGGGCGAAAGCCUGAUGCAGCGACGCCGCGUGAGCGAAGAAGUAUUUCGGUAUGUAAAGCUCUAUCAGCAGGGAAGAUAAUGACGGUACCUGACUAAGAAGCACCGGCUAAAUACGUG
rnacentral:rRNA from 1 species